rnacentral:rRNA from 1 species
GACGAACGCUGGCGGCGUGCUUAACACAUGCAAGUCGAACGGAAAGGCCCUGCUUUUGUGGGGUGCUCGAGUGGCGAACGGGUGAGUAACACGUGAGUAACCUGCCCUUGACUUUGGGAUAACUUCAGGAAACUGGGGCUAAUACCGGAUAGGAGCUCCUGCUGCAUGGUGGGGGUGGGAAAGUUUCGGCGGUUGGGGAUGGACUCGCGGCUUAUCAGCUUGUUGGUGUGGUAGUGGCUUACCAAGGCUUUGACGCGUAGCCGGCCUGAGAGGGUGACCGGCCACAUUGGGACUGAGAUACGGCACAGACUCCUGCGGGAGGCAGCAGUGGGGAAUAUUGCACAAUGGGCGGAAGCCUGAUGCAGCACCGCCGCGUGCGGGAUGACGGCCUUCGGGUUGUAAUCCGCUUCCGCCUGUGACGAAGCGUGAGUGACGGUAAUGGGUAAAGAAGCACCGACUAACUACGUG